UCUUAUGGCGGGCGGCCCGGGCCUGGCCGCGGUGCCGGCGCGGCAGGCGCAGUUCGAGGCCGCGCUGGAGGAG
rnacentral:tRNA from 1 species